UCCAUAAAUUCUGCCCAUGAACCCCACAAGGAAAAAUCCCACUUGUAAAUUGGACACACAUUUAACUCGGGUGUGACGUCAAUCCCAGCUCUGGCUUCCACGUUCCAAGGUAAAUGGAACGCGUUAUUAAAGCAGCAAUGGUUGAAGGAGAUGGCUAUGGCGUUUGAGAAACAUUCCAACAGGUUCUUGACGGUGU